AUGUUAUCACGAAAGGCAGAGGGAAUAGACCCGUUGAAGCCUUAGCAACCCUUUAACUUUAAAGAAGGUGCUAAAUUCUACUAGUUGAAUACUACUCAAUUGGACAGAUAACCU
rnacentral:ncRNA from 2 species